ensembl:lncRNA GPC5-AS1 GPC5 antisense RNA 1
GCAGUUUCAGUGUCUUCCUGUGGUCUGUGAAGAAGAGAAACUUAACAACAAGAAGAGGGAAAGGGAAGGUCGCCUAAGGAGAAGACACAGGAGUAAUGAGAAGACACAGGAGGUAGAGCAGCACUUGCUGACUCAGAAGCAUUAACAUGAAACGCUGGAGUGCAGGGCACAAUAAUGGUUGACUGCAGCCUCAACCUCCAGGGCUCAAGGGAUCCUUCCACCUCAGCCUCCCCAGUAGUUGGGAUUACACAGAUAUUUCAAGAUUCAGCAUCAUUUCAGACCCUGAAAAAUCCCUGAAAAUUGAAUUCUCAAUAGAUAAUGCAACUCCACAUAAUAUCUGGAUUUUGUAAAUGCUUGCUAAUAAAUUAUUUUACAACGUG